UUUUGGACAAUGGGCGCAAGCCUGAUCCAGCAAUGCCGCGUGAGUGAAGAAGGCCUUCGGGUUGUAAAGCUCUUUUGUCAGGGAAGAAACGGUGAGCUCUAAUACAGUUUGCUAAUGACGGUACCUGAAGAAUAAGCACCGGCUAACUACGUGCCAGCAGCCGCGGUAAUACGUAGGGUGCAAGUGUUAAUCGGAAUUACUGGGCGUAAAGCGUGCGCAGGCGGUUAUGUAAGUCAGAUGUGAAAUCCCCGGGCUCAACCUGGGAAUGGCAUUUGAGACUGCAUGGCUAGAGUGUGUCAGAGGGGGGUAGAAUUCCACGUGUAGCAGUGAAAUGCGUAGAGAUGUGGAGGAAUACCGAUGGCGAAGGCAGCCCCCUGGGAUAACACUGACGCUCAUCACGAA
rnacentral:rRNA from 1 species